ensembl:lncRNA
UCCAACCUUUGUGAUUCUAUGAUUCUUUCUAACCUGUCAUGUGGGGUGGUACGUGGUGACCCCAAAAGGCUGAUUUCCAGUGAUGCACUGUUUAUAGAGAUAGUGAUUACCUAUACUGACAUUUACGAUAGCUCAGAUCUCAGGCUUCUGAUACAGAACAAGGCAGUAUCUCAUGCUGACAUGCUUACAACAUCACAACAUGAUUUCUAAGAUAAACAAUAAAAAACAGUAAUGGCUUAAAUCCUGUGUCUUACUAAUGUUCAGUGGAGGCCUAGGUCUGGCUCUAUGGGCAGAAAAGUUGAUGGGAGCAUCAACUCCCAUCAACUGGAUAUUUGAUGCCCAGUACAUGAAUCACGAUACCUUGUUCCUUAAUAGUGCAAUUUCAGCUGAAGUCAUUAUGUUCCAUGGGGAUCAUAUCUUGAGACAGCCAGGAAACUGUACAGAAAACACAGAUAACCUCACAUGGUUACAGUAACUGCAACAGGAAUCAGCAGAGUCAGUAAUUUAAGAAUCUGCCUUUUGACUAAGAGCACCUCAUUUGACAGUAAGAUAACCAAGUCUUUGGCUUGAACAAAGUCAAAAGGACUUCAGAAAAAGACUCUUUCUAUGAUGCCCUUAAAGAUGCUAUCUCCAACACCAUAUGCUAUUUCAUGAUCCCAUGGUUAUUAUUCUUAUUUAUCUUUUCCUUCACUGCUCUGGUUUCUGAGCAGUGAUCUUCUGCAUGUGAUUUCAAAUGCAAGAAUAGAAGAAAAGUAUUGGAAUGCAAAAAACAGGAACAAUCUUCUAUCAACAUAUUCUAGCUGAAGCAAGACUAGUGCAUAUUUUUGUUUUAUCUCAAUACUAAUAUUGAAUUUUAAUUUUUGAGUCCAUCUGACAUCUGUUUUUAACCCUGACGAAGUAGAAGGCAGUGGUGGUAUCGCUGUCCACAGCUUCAUAAAAUUUGAUGUAUUUAAGCUGUACCAAACCUAUGUGUCUCAACAGUGGAAGAAUGCACGGGCCACACUGAAACUUAUCCUCGCUUUACCUGGUUUUGAGAUCAGGACCAAAGAGUAAAAAUGUCACUCAUGACAUGCCACACAAUGGCCCCAUUGUAUGAAAGGAGAAGCAGAUCAUGAACUUCUCACCUGGUCAGCACAUCUCUUCGAAGGAUCAGAACUAACUCCUUUGUUCGGUACAUCUCUUGCCAACACCAGGGCUGGGACACUGGUGAUUCUGGGGUUGGCAGAGGAGAUCUCUCUGGACUGUGACAUUUUUUUUUUUUUUUGGCCUCAUAAAUCCAUUGUAUGGCUAUGUGGCGUAUGUGCUGGUACAGUUCACUUAAGCUGCAAGAACUGAGUGAUUGCUGGGCCAUUACCUAACUAUCAUAUAGCAGAGCUUUCAGUUUCAGGGCUGGACAGGUUCUUCUCCUUAUAAUUAAUUUUCAUUCCCUCUUCACUUCUUGUUGAGUUUAGCAUGGAUACAGAAACCAAGCAUAAGAGAGCAGGGGGAGGAUGCCUUAAUGUCCAUCCCUUGCAGGGAUAGAUAGGAAUUUCUCUUCCUAUUCUCUUAUCAUUCUCAAAGUCCUGCUUUCCUCAAACUGCAAAGUUCCUAUUCCUGAUUAAGUGGGGACAAAUCCUUGUAGUUUUGUGGCCCUUGUCACUCUCCUGCUAGGGCUGUGUUGCUUAUGAUCCAAGGCCAGGUCUGAUUCAGCACACCUGCAACUACUUGGCUCAUACUCCUAAGCAGACUGCAAGGUGGAGAGAGAGCUGAGAGAAAGCACGUACCCUGGAGCCAUAUGAGAUAAGGAAGAUAAAACUGUAGAGGUAAGAUUGUUGGGAUGGAGGUAGACAGCAGUUCAAAAGGAAAAAGAUUGACAAGAAAAGAUAUAACGUUCUAAGAGAGAAAAGAAGAACUAGAAAACUGCCAGCUCAGCUACUUGAAGGCUCAGCCCGCUCCAAGGAGCAAUGGAGAUCAGCCCUUCCCCAUUUGACUGACAACUGCUCAUCCAGCAAAGACUGUUUAGGUGUGGUAAGCCAAUUAAUGUCUAACCUAAUAAUUCUCAUCAGUGCUAGCUAUUUAUUUUAUGUAAUGGGAAACAAAUAACUAUGAAGUCUCUUCACGUGUAGUAAAAGUUGCCUG